rnacentral:rRNA from 1 species
AAACCCUCACCAGAGUACCAAUUGGAGGGCAAGUCUGGUGCCAGCAGCCGCGGUAAUUCCAGCUCCAAUAGCGUAUAUUAAACUUGUUGCAGUUAAAAAGCUCGUAGUUGAAUUUCAGCGUUUCGCGUGUGCCUCUUUUGGCCCAUCUCGUCUCGCUUUUUUUAUUACUUUGAGAAAAUUAGAGUGUUUCAAGCAGGCUUUUGUCUUGAAUACUUGAGCAUGGAAUAAUAGAGUAGGACCUUGGUUCUAUUUUGUUGGUUUUGUUACCUUGGUAAUGGUUAAUAGGAACGGUUGGGGGCAUUCGUAUUUAACUGUCAGAGGUGAAAUUCUUAGAUUUGUUAAAGACGAACUACUGCGAAAGCAUUUGCCAAGGACGUUUCCAUUAAUCAAGAACGAAAGUUAGGGGAUCGAAGACGAUCAGAUACCGUCGUAGUCCUAACCAUAAACUAA